GGGUCAGUAGGUUGGUCGUGCCACCGGUACGUACUGGUCUCACUGAUUCCUCCUUCCUGAAGAACCGUAAUGCCAUUAAUUUGGUGUUGCGGGGAAACAGGACUGUUACUUUGAAAAAAUUAGAGUGUUUGAAGCAAGCUAACGCUUGAAUACAUUAGCAUGGAAUAAUGAAAUAGGACGAUCGAUCCUAUUUUGUUGGCUUCUAGGAUUGAUGUA
rnacentral:rRNA from 1 species